UUUAAUUAUUAUAUUGUUAUAAUUUUAUUUGUUUAAUUUUAUUUUUAUAGAAAUAACUUUUUUAUUAGUAAAGUUUAUUGAAAUUAUUAUUGUUAACUAUAGUUUAUUAGUACUGUAAAGGAAUUAUUUUGUUUUGUUUAUAAGCAUAUUUUAUUUAUUGUACCUUUUGUGUCAGGGUUUAUCAAUUUGGUUUUAAUUAUUAUUAACUUUCUCGAAAUUAGAAGAGAUAUAUUAUAAUGAUAGUUUACGUUUUAUAGUAAUUUUUAAUUUUGAUAUAGAGGUGAUAUGCUAUUCGUUUCUAUAUAUCUAGUUCUUUAAUAAUUUAAUUUAAUUAAGGUUAAUAUAUGGUUGUUAUAUAAUUUUAUUUUAUACAAUAAUAUUAUCUAAGUUUAUGGGGGAUAAGCUCUGUAUAUUUACUAUAAUCAAUUUAUUUUUUAAGAUUUUGUAGGCUUGAUAACAGCCAUUAUUUAUUUCGUUUUAGUUACUUCUUAGUUAUUAAUUUAUUUAUUAUUGAUUUAGAUUUUUAUUAAAGAGUUUUAUUUAAUUAUGAUUUAAAAGUUAUUAUGAUAGAAUUAGUAGUAUUGUAUAUUUAAGUUUAGGAACUCGGCAAAUUUGAUUUUCACCUGUUUAACAAAAACAUGUCUUAUAGAUUUAUUAAUUUUAAGUCGGGCCUGCCCGGUGAUUUAUUUAACGGCCGCAGUAUUUUGACUGUGCGAAGGUAGCAUAAUCAUUUGUCUUUUAAUUGAAGGCUAGUAUGAAUGGUUUGAUGAGAAAUCUGCUUUCUUAAUUUAAAUUUUAUGAAUUUGAUUUUUUAGUUAAAAAGCUUAAAUUGUUUUGCAAGACGAGAAGACCCUAUAGAAUUUUAUUUAUUGUUUUUAAUUUAUUCUUUUAGUUUAUUUUGAUUAGAUUAUUAAUUAAUAAAUUUUGUUGGGGCGAUAAUGAAAAUCAUAUAACUUUCAUUUGUUUUAUUUCAUUGAUUUAUGUGUUUUUUGAUCCUUUAUUUAGGUUUAUGAGAUUAAAUUACCUUAGGGAUAACAGCGUAAUCUUCUCGGAAAGUUCUUAUUGAUGAGGGGGUUUGCGACCUCGAUGUUGGAUUAAAGUAAAUUUUGGGUGCAGGAGCUCAUAAAUAUUAAGUCUGUUCGACUUUUAAUUCUUUACAUGAUCUGAGUUCAGACCGGCGUGAGCCAGGUUGGUUUCUAUCUGCAAAUUUUAUUUAUAUACUUUAGUACGAAAGGAUCAAGUAUAUGUAAUAUUUACUAUUUAUUUGAUUAUUAUU
rnacentral:rRNA from 1 species